UACGGAGGAUGCAAGCGUUAUCCGGAAUGAUUGGGCGUAAAGCGUCCGCAGGUGGCUAUGUAAGUCUGCUGUUAAAGAGUGAGGCUCAACCUCAUAAGAGCAGUGGAAACUACAUGGCUAGAGUGCGUUCGGGGCAGAGGGAAUUCCUGGUGUAGCGGUGAAAUGCGUAGAGAUUGGGAAGAACACCGGUGGCGAAAGCGCUCUGCUGGGCCGCAACUGACACUAAUGGACGAAAGCUAGGGGAGCGAAUGGG
rnacentral:rRNA from 1 species